UACGAAGGGGGCUAGCGUUGCUCGGAAUUACUGGGCGUAAAGGGCGCGUAGGCGGCUCUGUGAGUCGGGCGUGAAAUUCCUGGGCUCAACCUGGGGACUGCGUUCGAUACGGCAGGGCUAGAGGACGGAAGAGGGUCGUGGAAUUCCCAGUGUAGAGGUGAAAUUCGUAGAUAUUGGGAAGAACACCGGUGGCGAAGGCGGCGACCUGGUCCGUAACUGACGCUGAGGCGCGACAGCGUGGGGAGCAAAC
rnacentral:rRNA from 1 species